UACGUAGGGGGCGAGCGUUGUCCGGAUUUACUGGGCGUAAAGAGCGCGGAGGCGGAAAUUUAAGCGUGGCCUGAAAGCCCCCGGCUCAACCGGGGAGUGCGGCUGCGAACUGGGUUUCUUGAGGACGAUAGAGGAGAGUGGAAUUCCUGGUGUAGCGGUGAAAUGCGUAGAUAUCAGGAGGAACACCCGAGGCGAAGGCGGCUCUCUGGGUCGUACCUGACGCUGAGGCGCGAAAGCGUGGGGAGCAAACAGG
rnacentral:rRNA from 1 species